ensembl:lncRNA
GUCAACAACAUGAUAUUACUAUUAGAUAUUGGUGACUAUGAUAUAUUACUAAAUAUAUUACUAUUAGAAUGAAAGGCAUCUGGUGAAAGUCAACAACAUGAUAUAUUACUAUUAGAAUGAAAGGCUGGGCAUCUGGUGAAGGUCAACAACAUGAUAUAUUACUAUUAGAAUGAAAGGCAUCUGGUGAAGGUCAACAACAUGAUAUAUUACUAUUAGAAUGAAAGGCUGGGCACACUUUUUUUAGUGUGGAAAAAGUACAGAAGUUUCGGUAUACCACUAUUAUAUACUAACCUCUGGUGUAAAUGGGACACGGGCACAGAAGGAGCAAAGGAGACAAGACCAAAAAAGGCAACAUGAAAAACAAGCUCUUAAAAAAUAUAAAAAAGAUUUGGAAUUUGAUAUAUCGCACAGCCCUAGGUACAGAGAGUAAGUAGUCAUUCAAAAAGCAUGAUAAACACCAUUAUUGCACACAGAGUGAUUCUAUUAAACUUAUGUGACUUAUUAAGGACAGUUUUUACUCCUGAACUUAUUUUGGCUGGCCAAUAACAAAGAGGUUGAAUACUUAUUGACUCAGGACAUGUAAGCUAUUCAUUUGUAAAAAAAAAAAAAAAAUUUAAAAAUUCACUGUGGGGUAUUGUGUGUCGGCCAGUGACACAAAAUCUCACGCAAAUCAAUUUUCUAAGUCAGGCUGUAACACAUCAAAAUGUGGGAAAAAGUCAAGGGGGUUGUGAGUAUUUUCUGAAGGCACUAUUUAUUCUCCAAGAAUCAAUGGCUAUAUAUCGUUCAUUUAAAAGUUUUUUUAAAAACUGCAUGUACUAAUCACAGUUUUCCCCUUUAACAAUUCCUACAGUACUGAACAACAUAUUCAAGUGUAGAACUUCAGUAGAAUGCCACUUUAAAACCACACAUUAGUUCAACAACGGCAUAGUUUGUGCCCCUGUUUAAGACAGUACUCACUGGUAAUAAUCAGAUCUUCAGUCUCCUCCUCCAUUC